CCUACGGGUGGCUGCAGUGAGGAAUAUUGGGCAAUGCCCGCAAGGGUGACCCAGCAACGCCGCGUGGAGGAUGAAUGCCGUAAGGUUGUAAACUCCUUUUGAAGGGGACGAAAAAGUAGAUAGCCUCUACAUUGACUGUACCCUUAGAAGAAGCCCCGGCUAACUACGUGCCAGCAGCCGCGGUAAUACGUAGGGGGCAAGCGUUGUCCGGAUUUACUGGGUGUAAAGGGCGCGUAUGCGGGUCUGUAAGGAAAUCCUGCAGCUUAACUGUAGAACUGCCUCUGAUACUGCAAAUCUUGAGUUCAGAAGAGAGAAGCGGAAUUCCAGGUGUAGUGGUGAAAUACGUAGAUAUCUGGAAGAACACCAGUGGCGAAGGCGGCUUCUUGGUCUGUAACUGACGCUGAGGCGCGAAAGCGUGGGGAGCAAACAGGAUUAGAUACCCGAGUAGUC
rnacentral:rRNA from 1 species